UCAUUCAUCAUCAACCGUCCGAUUUCUCCACUAAAGCUAAAAAGGUAAAAAACCCUAAAAAAUUCGAUUUCUCCUGGAAAAAUUAAAAAUCUCGUACUGUGGAUAAUGAAGCAGAGGUUCGAAGAGCUUGAAAGUGAGAUGCCGAGCAGUUUGAUGAGAGAUUAGAAGGUUUUAGAAUCUACGGUAUAUCGACGAGAGCAGUGGAGCUUGAUAGCGAGGUACAGUAAUAAGGAUUCAAGAAGAUCUUAUUACUGCGUUGAGAGGUGGAGAUGAGACGGCGGUAGAGUUGAAGAAAGGGUUAACGGAUAAAGGUGAGAGCUUUGAGAGUUAUGAGAAGGAAGUGGAGACUUUGUGGAAAGCGAGAGCGUGAGAUUGAGAAGGGAGAGUUAGGGAUUUGGGAGGGAGAAUUGGGGUUUUGGAAGUGAAGGUACUGGAGGAGAAGAGUGAGAAACUUUAGAGUAGAAGAAGAGAUAAGAGAGAAAGGUAAUCAUAAAGAUGAAGAGAUAUACGAAUUGCAGAGGAAAGUCUCUGACUUUAAACUGCAAAUUUGUGAUGGAUAUGGGAGAAUUGUAAGUUCGAGAAGAAGCAGACACAGGACUCUUUGAGUGAAUCAAUGAAGAAGGAAUGAGUUGUUGAAGAAGAAGAAAAAAAGGUAACUUUAUUGAAAGAGAGAAUCUUGGAGCCUAGUAAUGGCGUCAGAGCUACAAAGGUUGUAACUUGUAAAUGGUGACCGAAAAAAGUUUCUUGGAAGGAGAAUUACAGUGGUUGGUUCAGUUGGAGUUGCUGGUUUGGUGGCAGCGACAAUGUUCAUAUGUUAUUCAAAGCGAAUGUGAUUAGAUUAUAUGCAAAUAGAGGAUUAGCUGAAGACCAUAACUUUUUGCAGUUUCAGUGUCAUAGGUCCCUAAGAUUUUGCCUGGCUUUCGUUGAGUUUGUGAUGUUUCUGGUUUUUAUUUGUUUGACGUGAUGAUGUAUCCUUUGGCUUUUAGGUUAUGUAUAUAUUUCAUACGGGCUUGUCAUCAGUUUGCUGUAUUUCUGUUGAAUGAAUAUCAAAGAGACACUUGUUGGUUGAUU